GAUGAACGCUGGCGGCGUGCCUAAUACAUGCAAGUCGAGCGAACAGACGAGGAGCUUGCUCCUCUGACGUUAGCGGCGGACGGGUGAGUAACACGUGGAUAACCUACCUAUAAGACUGGGAUAACUUCGGGAAACCGGAGCUAAUACCGGAUAAUAUAUUGAACCGCAUGGUUCAAUAGUGAAAGACGGUUUUGCUGUCACUUAUAGAUGGAUCCGCGCCGCAUUAGCUAGUUGGUAAGGUAACGGCUUACCAAGGCAACGAUGCGUAGCCGACCUGAGAGGGUGAUCGGCCACACUGGCACUGAGCCACGGUCCAGACUCCUACGGGAGGCAGCAGUAGGGAAUCUUCCGCAAUGGGCGAAAGCCUGACGGAGCACCGCCGCGUGAGUGAUGAAGGUCUUCGGAUCGUAAAACUCUGUUAUUAGGGAAGAACAAAUGUGUAAGUAACUAUGCACGUCUUGACGGUACCUAAUCAGAAAGCCACGGCUAACUACGUG
rnacentral:rRNA from 1 species